GACGAACGCUGGCGGCGUGCUUAACACAUGCAAGUCGAACGGUAAGGCCCUUCGGGGUACACGAGUGGCGAACGGGUGAGUAACACGUGGGUGAUCUGCCCUGCACUUCGGGAUAAGCCUGGGAAACUGGGUCUAAUACCGGAUAGGACCACUGCCUGCAUGGGUGGUGGUGGAAAGCUUUUGCGGUGUGGGAUGGGCCCGCGGCCUAUCAGCUUGUUGGUGGGGUGAUGGCCUACCAAGGCGACGACGGGUAGCCGGCCUGAGAGGGUAACCGGACACACUUGAACUGAGAUACGACCCAGACUCCUACGGGAGGCAGCAGUGGGGAAUAUUGCACAAGGGGCGCAAGCCUGAUGCAGCGACGCCGCGUGGGGGAUGACGGCCUUCGGGUUGUAAACCUCUUUCAGCACCGACGAAGCGCAAGUGACGGUAGGUGCAGAAGAAGGACCGGCCAACUACGUGCCAGCAGCCGCAGUAA
rnacentral:rRNA from 1 species